UACAUGAGGAUGAUGUGAAGGCUUCUAGUUGCCUAGCAAUGGCUGGCAGAAAAUCGAUGCCCCACUCCGCAGCACAGCAGUCGAAUAUUGAUUAUCUGGGUGAUUUGGAGAUUUGCUCCCUGGAUGAACAAAUUUUUCCCCCUGGGUAAUUGAUCAGAGGCAUGACAGAAGAUCCAUGGGUGGGCUGGAGUGAAGUCGCUGUAUCCCAUGUGCAUUCAUCUGAGGCCCCAGGCACAGCAGGAACCCACAGGACACCCUUCUAGAGAUGGAUAAGUCCAAGAGGCAAGCUCAAGGGCAUGGCACUUGGCACCCCUGUCUACGUCACCACUCAGAAGGAAGCCCUCCCUCCUCACCUGCACCUCUUGUGGUGUGAGGCCCAACCGUAAGUGUCACACGGCAUUACCGCACCUUGGAACAUCCCUAUCCUGAUCUCCGCGCAGCAGCUGACAUGCCAAGUGACAGCGCCGCUUCCUCUAAGGACACUUUCCGGUAAUGUAGCUGAUUAAAAUAUAGCUGACUGCAGGGAGGCAGCGGUGCUCCCGCCGGCCGGGCUGAGCCAGGGAAACGCAGAGAUAAUGAAUAACGGU